AACCUAGACCUUGAAUCUACACCCCCUAAACUUCUAAAUCAUCGACCCAUAACCCAUAACCCAUAACCCUUCUAAAUAUGAAAUGUGAUUUAUUCCCAUUGCUCUGCAUGUCAAAGUGAAGAAAUUCAACCAAGCGUGGGUAAAUAGAGGGAUUAACUAUGACUAUAUUAAGGUAGCCAUAUGCCUCUCCAUCUAAUUAGUGAUGUGCAUGAAUGUAUCAUUAACGAGAUUCCCCACCGUCCCUAGCUACCAUAUUAUAGAGAAACCAAAUCCAAGGGAAUGGGCUUGGAAGAAUUAGCGGGUAAAGAAGACCCUCAUGUUGAGCUUGACUCUAUUCCUAACCAUUUCAUAGU
rnacentral:ncRNA from 1 species